rnacentral:rRNA from 1 species
CAAUAGCGUAUAUUUAAGUUGUUGCAGUUAAAAAGCUCGUAGUUGGAUUUCUGCUGAUCGCUGUCGGUCUGCCGUCAGGUGUGUACUGGCAGUGUUUGGCAUCUAUUCGAGAUUGGGUGUCCACUUGAUUGUGUGCACUCGAUGUCGGAGCUAAUACUUUGUGAAAAUUAGAGUGUUCCACGCAGGCGCGUGCCUUGAAUACUGCAGCAUGGGAUAUUGGAAGGCCGAUUGAGCUUUCUUGUUGGUUCUCGGUUUGAUCGGAAUGAUUAAUAGGGAUAGUUGGGGGCAUUCGUAUUCAACUGUCAGAGGUGAAAUUCUUGGAUUUGUUGAAGACGGACUACUGCGAAAGCAUCUGCCAUGGAUGUUCUCAUUG